UAAAUAACAUAUUUUGAGAUUCUGGCUUUUAAUCUACUCUGAUAUCUGCUUCCAUUUUAUGGGAGAGUUCAUCCCAUUCAAAUUCAAAGUUAAAAUUACUAAUUCUGUAUUUCCCACCUUCCUGUUUUUCUAAAGCUGUACUUUUCUCUCUCCUUUAACCCUCUUCCUCCUCACUAGUGUUUUGUUUCUAAUGAACACAUCCCUCAAUCUUCCCUCUUUUUUCAGAUCUUCUUAGGAUAUUCACUAUUCUGCCCCAAAUCAUAUUUUUCACCAGUCUACAAUCUGCCUGAGGCACAAUUUUGUUUUGUUUAUGUAUGGGGGGAAACUAGAAAGCUUGGAAUUUUCUGACCUCUACCAUCUUCUCAGAAUUUUCUCUCUUCUUUGAAGGUCUUAAAGCACCAUAUAAAUUGUGUUAUUAGAGAUUAAUUGAGAUAAGGGCAGGUGAAGAUAAAAAACCAACAAAGAAUAAAAAGGAAGGAAGAAAGGAUAUGCAAGAAAGUGAGGAAAGAACAGGUAGAUUGGCAAGGGGAGGGGGGGGUUACUGUGUGAAUUUAUUUUGUUUGAAAUUUAUUAUUUUUUUUUAAAAAGCAAGAAGUAAGAAAUUGAGGUUUGUGAUUUCUUAUGUAAUCCACUGUAAUUUUAGGUGUUUUAAGUUCAGAAUAAAGUCACUUUUGAAAAACAAAGGGGGAAUGAGAUACUUACUCUCUCCCAGGCCAGGCCAGCAGGCCCCCAUAGCUGAGAAGUCUAAAAGACCAGAACUGGAAGCAAGGGGUGGGACUGGGGCUGGAGGGAAGAAAUUUUUUCUUUGUCUGCUUUCCAGAGUAAGGUCAGGGGGACCACAGCAAGAAGAAGAAGAGCUGAGGGAAAGAAAACUUUUUUCCCCUCGAACCAGCCAACAGAAUGACAGAGAAACUGAUGAUUCUUUCUCACUCUUCCUCUGAUUCUCCCUGCCUCUCCCUGCAUGGCCAACAGGACCACAACAAAGAGAUGAACAAUUGGGAUGAGGGUGAGGGGUAGGAGAGAAGACUCGCUUUCUCUUUUCCAGAAUGAGGCCAGCAGCACCAGAACAGCAAGAUGACCAGCUGGGAAAGAGGGAGAUACUGUCUCCCUCUUUCCCUCUUUCCCUCCUUCUUUCUCUCUUUCUCUCUCCUCCUGGAUCCAGCCAACAAGACUACAGUAAAGAGAUGUCUAGAAAAAAGAUGGGGAAUCAGCAUGUCUCCCAGGCCUGACCAGAGGGACAGGAGUGAGUGGAAACACUUCUGUCCCUGAAGCCAGCUAGAAGGCCCAAGAAAAGAUGAGAAGACAAGGAGGAUGUCCGUUUCCAUCUUUCUUAGUGGAGACAGUCAGUGAGGAGCCUCUCUGUCUCCAACUCUCAGUUCCUCUUCUCCCUACUGGAAAGCUCAGCUAGCAAAAGUCUGAAUGAGAGGAAAAUACCAAAAGGUUGAAGGACAAACCCAACAGAGACCCUUUAUGUAUCCCUGGCCCAAGAAGCAAGACUGCCACAACCAAAAGACAACCAGGAGGGAGGAAAAGAGGAAUUUUUCUUUCCUCUCUUACUCUCUCCAGCAUGGAGAUGACCAGGGUGUAAGUAUGAGGGAGGGAGAGCUAGGGGGAAGAUUCUUUUUUUUUUUUCAGAGUCAAAACAAUGGGGCCACAGCAAGAAGAUAACUAUCAAGAAGAGGAAGAUUCUGUCUGUGUCUGCAUCUCCGUUUCAUUCUCUCAUUCUCUCCCUGGAGCCAUGAAGAGGAUUGCCAUAAAGUGAUAUCCAAAACAGGGAGAGAGAGAGAAUGAGGAGGCGCUCCCCUGAACCUGACAAAUGGAACAGGGGUUGAUGAGGCUCCUCUUUGUUUCCCUGGUUCGAAAGAGGAGAUCAAAUGACAAGAUCCAACAGAAGACCCUCUCUGUAUCUCUGGCCCAGGAAGCAAGACUGCCACAACUGGAAGACAUCCAGAAGGGAGGGAGAGAGAAACUUCCAUGUGCUCAUUCUCCCUCCCUUGACAGCAAAGAUGGGACCAGCACAUGAAAAUGGGGAGGGGGAAAGGGAAAGAUUCUAUUUUUCAGGGCAACACCAGUAGGAGAAGCACAAGGAGGAGAAGGGGCAGGAAGAGGAGAAGGGGCUCUAGCUCUUUUUGUGCUCCUCUUCCCCCCCUCUCCAGAAGAGCCAGCUAGCAGAAGCCGGCCUGUGAAGGCAGAACCAUAAAACAGGUAUAGCAGACAGAUGAAUGGUGGAGGAGCUUCUCUUUUCCUGAGUCAGACCAAUGGGGCAACAGCAAGAAGAUGACCUGCUGGAAAAGGAAGACUCUUCUUUCUGUCUGUCUCCCUCUCCCCCUUCCCCCCCUCCUCCUGCUCUUCAGUCUUUAGUCCUGGUCGGUGUUGUCAGUCAUCAUCGGUCAUCGUUGUCAGGGGUUGUCGGUCGUGGUCGUAGGUCAUCAUUGGUCAUGGUCGAGGAUUGUCGGUUGGCAUCAGGGGUCAUCAUUGGGGGUCGUCAGUCGUCGGGGGUCAUCGUCGUUGGGGGCCGUCAUCAUCGGGGCUCAUUGGUCAUCGUCAUCAUUGGUCGUCGUCAUCGGAAGUUGUCGGUCAUCGUCGGGGAUCCAUCAGUCGUCAUCAUCGGGGGUCGUCGGUCGUCAUUGGGGGUCGUCAAUCAUCAGUCGUCAUUGGGGAUCGUCAGUCGUCGU